rnacentral:lncRNA from 10 species
UUAACAAAGGGAAAAUGUGGUGUCCUGGUUGACCAGAGCUUUCCCUGAUUUAUUGUGAAACUGUUUAUCUCGGAGCUUUACUUAGGAUCACAUGCAGUCUGUCUACCUAUUACUACAUUGGACCUACUGACCUCAUUUUUUCAUUUCGUUGUCAUUGUUUUUGCUGUUUGUUCAUUCAUUUAUUGUUUCAGCAUUUAUAAGUGCUUGCUACAGUCUAACAACUAUUCUAGAUGUUAGAGAUGCAAUGUGAAAAUGAGUCCCAGUUCUUAUUUUGGAGAGGUUGUUGUCAAGUAGGUGAGAGAGAGAUGAGCAAACAAUACAGCCUGAUUGAGGAUGUGAUCAAGAUAUACUCAAGGUAGUAAGGAAUAGCAGAGGCAAGGCAGCUACCUAUCUGAGGUGGACAAGAAAGACUUUCUGGAGAGGUUAGUUGGGCUUGACUUAAUCUUGAAAAAAAAUAGGAGCUGGGCAGCAGGUGAAGAAAGAAAUCAAAGAGAAGAAUUCACAAAGCAAAGAGGCUGACACCCUGGAGCAUUUUGGGAAUCUACAAGUAACUAUUUGGAGGUGAGAACACCAUGAAGACUUCCAAAGGUA